AGAUUUUAUAGAAAAUUUAUUUAUUUGCCUAUUAAAGUAGUCCUUUAAACCCCCGUGCCAUACUAAGCAAAUUCUAAAAGGAACAUGGGAGUUUAAAGGAUUGCGCAACACCUAGAUGGCUCUGCUGGCUCUUUUACCUGUUUCAGUUCGUCCUCCUCAUCCUUGAUUUUUUAUGGAAGGACGACGGCCUUUGCAUUUCGCGAUUCUUGGAGGAGAAAAAAAUGUCUACCUCGACCCGCAACGAAGCAGAAAAAGCAGUUCAAGCUCAGGUUCCAACUUGGAACCACUGGAUAACCUUUUGAAGAUAACUGGUGAACUCUACUCCCUCGCAAGAGAAUGCUUUUUAUAAUUGAAGAAGCAUCUACAUUAACUAUGUAACGUUUCUUGCCGACCCACCUGUCUCUGCCUCUUCCGUCGUCGUCUUUGAAGCCAACGUCAACACUUCUAUGGAGUCAAUGGUUGAACCUUUCCUGCCCAGUAAGUUUCCUACGAUUUGUGGCGUAUGGUAAAGCUUAGGUUAGGGGGUUUUUAAUUUUUCUUAAUUAAUACCACGCUUUCAGAACCUGUAAAUUUUCUAUGGAUUCUUGUGUUUAUUUUGCUAUCUAUAAAGGUGUAUAUUUAUUGGAACUUUGUUAUUACCAUUUGUGUAAUUACUCUUUUGAUUUUUAGGCAGUUGCUAAUUGUUAAGGAGGACAGUGGUUUAGUGGAAGACACUGAUUCAAUUUCUUGUUCUUUCACGCAACUGAUUUAGAAUCCAUAGGUUUUCAAAAAUUUCCAUGAGUGAAGGUCUUUCCACCACAAGCAAUAGUUGUCUAUUUAUGAUUAGCGAUUGGGAACAGGACUUCAGCCAUCGGAGUUGUAUCUAUGCCAUUUCGUAAUCUUAACUUUCAUACGAAUAAAUAAUUUUAAAGAA